UUUGUACUCCCUCCGUCCGAAAAUACUUAUCAUCAAAAUGGAUAAAAGGAGAUGUAUCUAGACGUAUUUUAGUUCUAGAUACAUCUAUUUUUAUCCAUUUUGAUGACAAGUAUUCUUGGACGAAGGGAGUAAUAA
rfam:Triticum aestivum genome assembly, contig: Triticum_aestivum_CS42_TGACv1_scaffold_030517_1BL